AUUGAACGCUGGCGGCAGGCCUAACACAUGCAAGUCGAGCGAGCGGCGGACGGGUGAGUACUGUCUAGGAAACUGCCUGAUGGAGGGGGAUAACUACUGGAAACGGUAUCUAAUACCGCAUACCAUCAGAUGUGCCCAGAUGGGAUUAGCUAGUAGGUGGGGUAACGGCUCACCUAGGCGACGAUCCCUAGCUGGUCUGAGAGGAUGACCAGCAACACGGGAACUGAGAAACGGUCCAGACUCCUACGGGAGGCAGAAGUGGGGAAUAUUGCACAAUGGGCGCAAGCCGGAUGCAGCAAUGCCGCGUGUGUGAAGAAGGCCUUCGGGUUGUAAAGCACUUUCAGCGGGGAGGCGUUACCCGAAGAAGAAGCACCGGCUAACUCCGUGCCAGCAGCCGCGGUAAUAC
rnacentral:rRNA from 1 species